AUUGAACGCUGGCGGCAGGCCUAACACAUGCAAGUCGAGCGGAUGAAGGGAGCUUGCUCCUGGAUUCAGCGGCGGACGGGUGAGUAAUGCCUAGGAAUCUGCCUGGUAGUGGGGGAUAACAUCCGGAAACGGGCGCUAAUACCGCAACGUCCUGAGGGAGAAAGUGGGGGAUCUUCGGACCUCACGCUAUCAGAUGAGCCUAGGUCGGAUUAGCUAGUUGGUGGGGUAAAGGCCUACCAAGGCGACGAUCCGUAACUGGUCUGAGAGGAUGAUCAGUCACACUGGAACUGAGACACGGUCCAGACUCCUACGGGAGGCAGCAGUGGGGAAUAUUGGACAAUGGGCGAAAGCCUGAUCCAGCCAUGCCGCGUGUGUGAAGAAGGUCUUCGGAUUGUAAAGCACUUUAAGUUGGGAGGAAGGGCAGUAAGUUAAUACCUUGCUGUUUUGACGUUACCAACAGAAUAAGCACCGGCUAACUUCGUG
rnacentral:rRNA from 1 species